UAUGGAGACUGCCGGUGGACAAACCGGAGGAAGGUGGGGAUGACGUCAAGUCAUCAUGGCCCUUAUGGGCAGGGCUACACACGUACUACAAUGGUCGGUACAAAGGGCUGCCAACCCGCGAGGGGGAGCCAAUCCCAGAAAACCGAUCGUAGUCCGGAUUGGAGUCUGCAACUCGACUCCAUGAAGUCGGAAUCGCUAGUAAUCGUGGAUCAGAAUGUCACGGUGAAUACGUUCCCGGGUCUU
rnacentral:rRNA from 1 species